rnacentral:rRNA from 1 species
UACGAACUGCGCAAACGUUAUUCGGAAUCACUGGGCUUACAGGGUGCGUAGGCGGCCGAUCAGGUCCGAUGUGAAAUCCCACGGCUCAACCGUGGAAUGGCAUUGGAAACCGACCGGCUUGAGUGAGCUAGAGGUGCACGGAACUUCCGGUGGAGCGGUGAAAUGUGUUGAGAUCGGAAGGAACACCAGAGGCGAAAGCGGUGCACUGGAGCUUGUCUGACGCUGAGGCACGAAAGCCAGGGGAGCGAACGGG